AAAAAAUCAGGGUUUCGUUGUCUUUUUAAGAACGGAUCUCUAGUAGAAUUCAGGGAAAACAAAUUCAAUUUUUUUGGGUGAACCUAUGGAUUUUUUAUAAGUACCAAUGGGUUCAGUUAAUGUUGAAACAAUA
rnacentral:snoRNA from 1 species